rnacentral:piRNA from 1 species
UUCUUUCUGGCUGUGCUGUGACUGCUCU